rnacentral:rRNA from 1 species
GAUGAACGCUGGCGGCGUGCCUAAUACAUGCAAGUCGAGCGAACAGAUGAGGAGCUUGCUCCUCUGACGUUAGCGGCGGACGGGUGAGUAACACGUGGAUAACCUACCUAUAAGACUGGGAUAACUUCGGGAAACCGGAGCUAUACCGGAUAAUAUAUUGAACCGCAUGGUUCAAUAGUGAAAGACGGUUUUGCUGUCACUUAUAGAUGGAUCCGCGCCGCAUUAGCUAGUUGGUAAGGUAACGGCUUACCAAGGCGACGAUGCGUAGCCGACCUGAGAGGGUGAUCGGCCACACUGGAACUGAGACACGGUCCAGACUCCUACGGGAGGCAGCAGUAGGGAAUCUUCCGCAAUGGGCGAAAGCCUGACGGAGCAACGCCGCGUGAGUGAUGAAGGUCUUCGGAUCGUAAAACUCUGUUAUUAGGGAAGAACAAAUGUGUAAGUAACUAUGCACGUCUUGACGGUACCUAAUCAGAAAGCCACGGCUAACUACGUG